rnacentral:rRNA from 1 species
GCUCAGGAUGAACGCUAGCGGCAGGCUUAACACAUGCAAGUCGAGGGGCAGCGCGGGGCAGCAAUGUUCUGGCGGCGACCGGCGGAAGGGUGCGUAACGCGUGAGCGACAUGCCCGUUGCCCGGGGACAACCGGUGGAAACGCCGACUAAUCCCCGAUGGGACGGAGGCCCUCAUGGGUCUCCGUUGAAAGUUACGGCGGCGACGGAUUGGCUCGCGUCCGAUUAGCUUGUUGGCGGGGUAACGGCCCACCAAGGCUACGAUCGGUAGGGGUUCUGAGAGGAAGGUCCCCCACAAUGGAACUGAGACACGGUCCAUACUCCUACGGGAGGCAGCAGUGAGGAAUAUUGGUCAAUGGGCGGAAGCCUGAACCAGCCAUGCCGCGUGCGGGAAGGAGGCCCUAUGGGCUGUGAACCGCUUUUGCCUGGGGGCAAUAAGGGCGUCGUGCACGUCCGAUGAGAGUACCAGGCGAAUAAGCAUCGGCUAACUCCGUGCCAGCAGCCGCGGUAAUACGGGGGAUGCGAGCGUUAUCCGGAUUCAUUGGGUUUAAAGGGUGCGUAGGCUGUGCGUCAAGUCAGGGGUGAAAUUCCGGGGCUCAACUCCGGGGCUGCCCUUGAUACUGUCGCGCUGGAGUGCGGAUGCCGCCGGAGGAAUGAGUGGUGUAGCGGUGAAAUGCUUAGAUAUCACUCAGAACACCGAUUGCGAAGGCAUCUGGCGAAUCCGUAACUGACGCUGAGGCACGAAAGCGUGGGGAUAGAACAGGAUUAGAUACCCUGGUAUUCCACGCCGUAAACGAUGAUGGCUAACCGCCGGCGACACACUGUCGGUGGCCAAGCGAAAGCGAUAAGCCAUCCACCUGGGGAGUACGUCGGCAACGAUGCAACUCAAA